AUGAUCAUGCCAAGCUCCACCGAAAAGCCAAACCCCGACCAGCACCAGCACCAGCACCACCCUCCCGGCCAUGGCCAAGAAGCGAAAGCUCCGAUCCUCCGAUCCCUCGCCGGCCAAGUCCGCCGAGCCUCAGGACCAGCAGGAGCCCUCCCAGGCCGGCCAGCCCGAGCCGGUCCCCGAGGAGGCGGCGCAGCAGGAGCCGCAGGGCAUGGCCGUGGACGAUCCCGCGCAGAAGGAUCCGGCUUCGGAAGUGGAGCCGCAGACCGGAGAACCGAAGCCGGAGAAGGCGGAAGGAGGCCGGAAGGUGAGGGAGAAGAGCGGGAGCUGGAGCAGGAGGAGCGAGCCGAUUUGAAUGCGCCGAGCGGCGGCGGCGGCGGCGACGGCGGCGUCGCGUCGGAGCCGGAAGCGUCGCGGGCGAAUGGAGCUGCGGAUGAGAAUAACGAGGAGGAGGAAGAAGACGGGGACGACGUGGAUGAGGAGCCCGUGGAGAAGCUUCUGGAGCCGUUCACUAAGGAGCAGCUGACUAUGGUUCUCAAACAGGCCGUGGCCAAGCACCCCGACUUGAUCGAGAGCGUGCGAGGCGUCGCGGACGCGGAUCCUGCUCACAGGAAGAUCUUCGUGCACGGCCUCGGCUGGGACGCGACUGCCGAUGCCCUAAUUUCGGUAUUUGGGAAGUACGGGGAGAUAGAAGACUGCAAGGCUGUCACCGACAGGGUCUCCGGGAAGUCGAAGGGCUAUGCGUUCAUCCUGUUCAAGCAUCGGAGCGGCGCGCGGAAGGCUCUCAAGCAGCCGCAGAAGAAGAUCGGCAACCGCAUCACCUCAUGCCAGCUGGCGUCCACGGGCCCAGUCCCCGCUCCGCCCCCUAGCGCGCCUCCUGUUUCGGAGUACACCCUGAGAAAGAUCUUUGUGAGCAAUGUGUCCGCUGAGGUUGAUGCUGAGAAGCUGUUGGAGUACUUUAAGCAGUUUGGGGAGGUUGAGGAAGGUCCUUUGGGGCUCGAUAAACAGACUGGUAAGCCGAAAGGUUUCGCCUUGUUUGUUUACAGGUCCGCUGAGAGUGCUAAGAGGGCUUUGGAGGAGCCGUACAAGAACUUCGAAGGAAUUACUUUGCACUGCCAAAAGGCAAUUGAUGGGCCAAAACCAGGUAAAAACUUCAGCGGGCAUCAACAGCAUCACCACUACCACCAACAGCAGUAUUCGCAUCCCAGGAAAGACAAAAAUAAGUAUGCAGCUGGUAGCGGGUCGGCUCCUGGACAUUUGAUGGCGCCUCCAGGACCAACCGUUGGGUUUAAUGCUGGGGCAGCGCAGGCGUUUAAUCCAGCACUUGGACAGGCCUUGACUGCUAUUCUUGCCACCCAGGAGCUGGGUUGGGAAUUGUAAUUUGCUGGGAGGUAUAGGAGCACCUCCGAUGAACCAAGGUGGGAUGCCGGGAGGAUAUGGUGGCCAACCUGCAGGAAGCUAUGGGAUGCAACCUGGGAUUCAAGGUGUCUAUCAGAAUCCACAGAUGGGUCAGGGGACUUCUGGUCGGCCUCCACAGGGCGGGGGACCGCCAUACAUGGGACACUAGAUUCCUUCAUAGAUGCAUCAGUCAUUUAGUUUUGGACUCUGGUGAAUCUUCUGAAGUUCCGGGAUCUCUUGCAAAGUAUCUUUAAAUCUGAUUAGAAAUUAUUUGUCUUCUAUAGAGAUCCCUAGAUCUCAAACUUGUAUCUUAAUUGCUAUUCCAGCACUUUUUCCCCUUCACUUGUUUUUAAAAACUCUAUAAUUCUUCAUUUUCAUUUUCUUGCUACGUUGAAAGUGUUGGGGAACAGGUAGAGUUUUCAAGCAGAGAACAUUUCCUUAACUUAAAAUUCACCAGCAUGCAUGAGGCUCUAUUAUAUUA